GAGCACCACUUAUCCCAGUACGUUCCAUUUCAUCCACUUUGAUCCAUGUCAUGAUAUGUACAGUUAAUAUGACCUUACAAAUAACUCUCAGAUGGUCGGUGCCCCUACAUCAGGAAGUCAUUAGAAGCUGACCUCUCAUCCAGCCACAGAAGGAGAUGAGUCAUACAGUGUUCUUACUGUUAACUUGGAAAAGAAUCAAGGAGGAGACAGAGACAUAUUUGCUAAUGAUGCAAAAUGGAGGUAGAUGCACACAGAGAAACUGAGGGGAAAGGAGAGGGAAGGAAUAAUCAAGGAUAUAUGAUGACAUUUUAAAUCCAGAAAGUCACAGUUUUGGAAUCCACUAAGGGCCUUAGAGAUCAUCUUGAGCAGCUCCCUCAGUGAGGAAAUCAAAUUGCAAAAUUCUCUGAUUUUAUAACUCUAAUAACUUUCACUACAUUGAAAUUUGGGAAAAAAUCACUAUAUUGAAAAUGAGAUCUACUCAACAAAGAUCAUUAAGGAGGAAAACAAGUUCUGGCAGGGGCUGUUUAGCUGUGAAGACUUUGAUAAUGCUCUGAUGAAAGAUGGAUGAUGUGUCUGUAGGCCAAGAGCCAUACUUGAAAAAUAACUCAGUUCAAAGAAACUUGUCAUGGAAAGAUGAUGAAACUGUGACACAGAGGACUGAAGUACCUAAAUCAAAGGUAGAACCAGAAGUAGAUUGGAAACCUCCUGGGAUCUGUCAGCCAACGACUCCCUCUGUUGGAUUUUGUUGUCUUGUUCACUUUAGACCUUUAGGCAACAUUUUGUAUCUUAAAGAUAAUUCUAAUUAUUAGCUGGUUAAUAUCUGUGACCAAAUUUCACUGUUCUCCAUCUUUACUAAAGGGAGAAAAAUUGCAAAUUGGCUUAAGCUAAAGUAAGAGGAAUUCAGAUUAGAUCUUGAAGAGAACUUCUAAUCCCUUAUGAUUGCUAGAUACUAAAAAAACAUUACUGAGAAAAAAUUUAAUUUUCUUAGCAGAAAGUACAGUUUUAAAUAGAAUUGACUCUUACCCAUCUAUAUUAGUUUAAUUUAUCUUGGUGUGUUGGAUGGCAUAAAGUAGGGCUCUGUUUUUUAAGGUUUUAAAAAGAAAAGUUUUAAAAAGAAAAAUAUUUUUUAAAAAAGUUUUAAAAAUAUUUUCAUAACUGUUUUCAGUAUAAUUGCUUUCCUUUGAAUUCCUAUCCAUUUAAAAAAUAUCAUAAAGAGAAAGGAACCAAAGGUUUUUCCAAACAGCCAAAACUAAAUGAUAUUCUAAGUAAGGUGUAAUUAACUCUUUGAUUCAAUUCAAUUCAAUUCACUUUCUGUAAUAGGCGUACAAAGAUAAAGCAAUACAAUCCUUUCCCUUGAUGAAUUUAUAUUCUAUUAGGGUUAUGAUUAAUGAUUGCUAGUUAGUGUUAUAAGUUCAAUUUUUUCUAUUGCUGGGCAGUUGCCUAGGGAUUUCCCAGGAAUUUGCUUAUUAAGCUACAGGAAAUAAUAGGGAUUCUGGAUAGUCCCAUGGGCUAGCCAAUGUGCUUGAUUUGUUUUUUCUUAUAAUAGCUAUCCUAUUUUCCUUUAUUUAAUCCACACUGUACUCUCUAAAUGGUUUCACCUUGGGAUCAAUGCCACCCAUUCAUAAUAUAGCUAAAGGAGACUAAAAUUACAACCUUUCAUCACAAAAUAAUAAUAGUAAGCUGACUCUGGUUUAUUGAAAUCUAACCUACCCCAAAUACCCUCUUGAAUUAGCACUUUGCUGGAAACUUAGCUAAAUCAGUUACAAACCGUGACUAUUCAUAUUAAUAAUAAGUUAUAAUAGCAAUAGGAAUAAAGCUAUUGUAUCUUUUUUAAAAGAGUACUUU
ensembl:lncRNA